UGGGGAAUUUUGGACAAUGGGGGAAACCCUGAUCCAGCCAUCCCGCGUGUGCGAUGAAGGCCUUCGGGUUGUAAAGCACUUUUGGCAGGAAAGAAACGUCGCGGGUUAAUACCCCGCGAAACUGACGGUACCUGCAGAAUAAGCACCGGCUAACUACGUGCCAGCAGCCGCGGUAAUACGUAGGGUGCAAGCGUUAAUCGGAAUUACUGGGCGUAAAGCGUGCGCAGGCGGUUCGGAAAGAAAGAUGUGAAAUCCCAGAGCUUAACUUUGGAACUGCAUUUUUAACUACCGGGCUAGAGUGUGUCAGAGGGAGGUGGAAUUCCGCGUGUAGCAGUGAAAUGCGUAGAUAUGCGGAGGAACACCGAUGGCGAAGGCAGCCUCCUGGGAUAACACUGACGCUCAUGCACGAAAGCGUGGGGAGCAAACAGGAUUAGAUACCCUGGUAGUCCACGCCCUAAAACGAUGUCAACUAGCUGUUGGGGCCUUCGGGCCUUGGUAGCGCAGCUAACGCGUGAAGUUGACCGCCUGGGGAGUACGGUCGCAAGAUUAAAAACUC
rnacentral:rRNA from 1 species